rnacentral:tRNA from 1 species
UCCCUGGUGGCUCAGAUGGUAGAGAAUCUGCCUGGAAUGCAGGAGACCCAGGUUUGAUCCCUGGGUUGGGAA